rnacentral:lncRNA from 1 species
AAAAAUGCGAAAAUAAUUGGAAAUAAUAGAAAACGAAAAAUAAAGGAGUUUGAAAAAGGGGGAGGAACAAAAAAAAGUCCUGUCCCAAUGAACCUAUGGUUGGGAAACCAAAAUGUAAGACAAAAAAUAAAACCCAAUUUAAUAUGAAACAAAUUAUUGAUAAUGGUUACAUGUAAUUGAUACGGAAUUUUAUUUAUGAUUUUGAAAAAUCUUAAUAUUUGGCGGGUCAGGCGA